rnacentral:rRNA from 1 species
GACGAACGCUGGCGGCGUGCUUAACACAUGCAAGUCGAACGGGUCUGCCCUGUUUUUUGCGGGGUGGGUCAGUGGCGAACGGGUGAGUAACACGUGAGUAACCUGCCCCUCACUUCUGGAUAACCGCUUGAAAGGGUGGCUAAUACGGGGUGUUCUGGCUGUGCCGCACGGUGUGGCUGGGAAAGAUUCACUUUUGUGGUGUUUUGGUGGGGGAUGGGCUCGCGGCCUAUCAGCUUGUUGGUGGGGUGAUGGCCUGCCAAGGCUUUGACGGGUAGCCGGCCUGAGAGGGUGGGCGGUCACACUGGGACUGAGAUACGGCCCAGACUCCUGCGGGAGGCAGCAGUGGGGGGUAUUGCACAAUGGGCGGAAGCCUGAUGCAGCGACGUCGCGUGAGGGAUGGAGGCCUUCGGGUUGUGAACCUCCUUCGCCGGUGAAGAAGGUCCUGCUCUUUGUGGUGGGGUUGACGGUAGCCGGGUUAUGAAGCGCCGGCUAACUACGUG